GAUGAACGCUGGCGGCGUGCCUAAUACAUGCAAGUCGAGCGAACAGACGAGGAGCUUGCUCCUCUGACGUUAGCGGCGGACGGGUGAGUAACACGUGGAUAACCUACCUAUAAGACUGGGAUAACUUCGGGAAACCGGAGCUAAUACCGGAUAAUAUAUUGAACCGCAUUGUUCAAUAGUGAAAGACGGUUUUGCUGUCACUUAUAGAUGGAUCCGCGCCGCUUUAGCUAGUUGGUAAGGUAACGGCUUACCAAGGCAACGAUGCGUAGCCGACCUGAGAGGGUGAUCGGCGACACUGGAACUGAGACACGGUCCAGACUCCUACGGGAGGCAGCAGUAGGGAAUCUUCCGCAAUGGGCGAAAGCUUGACGGAGCAACGCCGCGUGAGUGAUGAAGGUCUUCGGAUCGUAAAACUCUGUUAUUAGGGAAGAACAAAUGUGUAAGUAACUAUGCACGUCUUGACGGUACCUAAUCAGAAAGCCACGGCUAACUACGUG
rnacentral:rRNA from 1 species